UCUGAGGUUUGUCCCGACAUACCUCUUUACUGUGUGGUAUUGUCGUUGGAAACGCCUCAGAUAGUAAAUCUGUAGUGUUGCUUUACCCGCAUGGUCACUGCUAUGACCUCUGUGGGAUACCACUACAGAACACUU
ensembl:snoRNA small nucleolar RNA SNORA18